AUAGCCAUGGUAUGAAUGCUUUUAAAGGUUAGAUAUUUUUGAUAAGCUUUUGAGAACCGGAUAACACGGAUGAAGACUGAACAGGCUGGUGGCAGGUACAACACACUAGUGACCGGCAUUCCUCAGUCAGAACCCGAUCAGCAUCCAGUGAGAACAGGGCGAGCUCAGGAAGGUGGGCUGUGCACACUGACGAUAGAAGGAACCUCAUGCAGGCAAGGAGACGUAGUCUCUGGCGGAGACUGACAAAGAGAGACGGAUAUUAAUUAAAGCUUGGAACAAUGAGGGUGAUCCAUCUGCUUUAAUUAGCAUAGUCAAGCAGAACAUAUAAUGGCAAGCUACCAGACAGCUCCAAAAACAACCAAACAGAGGCAGGCAUCGUUACAUAAGAAGCUUCAUUAUAUUAAAAACGAUGAUGCAUAUAUUUCUUAGUGUGUGUCUGUUCCUAACAUCUAUUACUACAAAGUCAAAGUACAGUUGGGGAAGAGUCUAACAUCACACUUAAUGUUAUUAAGUCAUUUACACCAGUUUUAUGAAUUUAGUUUAGCAUUACAUAACCUUUACUGUCAAGUAAAAUACCUCUACUGAUAAAAUAACCCAUGAAAAUAAGUUGACUUCCUAAGCUAACUCUGCAUUUCUGCUUUUUUACUUCAGCCUUCAACCAUUACAUCAUAUCCUGCAUCAACAGAUGGUGAAGCUGAUGCAGGACGUGACGAGAAUUCAGCAGAGACAUGCUACACGUCUCCAGCCGAUUUUGAAAUUUCCAAUGGCGAAGAACAUAACGACAGUAAAGAAGGAAAUAUGACUGAGAAUUGCAUCUAAUCAUUACCGGCUGGCGAUGCAUGUUUUUGGUCUGCUCACAACUGCAAAGUCACUGAAGGAACUUGAUGAGAUGGUGCAGAGUGCAGCUGUGGUGUUUUCCAGUCCCUUCAGUGGUGAAAAUGUAGACGCAUUUUCAAAAACUCCAAUCAAUGCUCCUGCAAAUUGGACAGCUCCCCGAAGACCGUAUUCAGCAUGACCCUGCAGCUGAGGACCUGAAGGAAAUCGACGGUAAAAACAACGCCAAACAUUACAAAGAAGUCGUUGACAGUGC